rnacentral:rRNA from 1 species
AGGGCGCAUGAAGGAUGCCUUGGCUCUCGGAGGCGAAGAAGGACGUGACAAGCUGCGAAAAGCCGCGGAGAGGGGCAAAUACCCUGAGAUCCGCGGAUGUCCGAAUGGGGCAACCCGGCACGUAAAGCGUGCCGUUCCGCUAAGCGGGACGCCAACCCGGGGAACUGAAACAUCUCAUUACCCGGAGGAAAAGAAAACAACAGUGAUUGCGCUAGUAGCGGCGAGCGAACGCGCAGGAGCCCAAACCGGGGCUGUGGCAACGCAGCGCCGGGGUAGAAGGACCGAACGACAAAGUCAAGAGCGACGGAUAGCAGAACGCCCCUGGAAAGGGCGGCCGCAGAGGGUGAAAGCCCCGUAAGCGAAAUCCGGGACAAAGACGAGUUCGGCACCUGAGUAAGGCGGGACACGAGAAAUCCUGCCCGAAUCUGCGGGGACCAUCCCGUAAGGCUAAAUACUACCGAGAGACCGAUAGCGAACCAGUACCGUGAGGGAAAGGUGAAAAGAACCCCGAACAGGGGAGUGAAAAAGACCCUGAAAUCAUGCGCCUACAAGCGGUCGGAGCGGUGCAAUACCGUGACGGCGUGCCUUUUGCAUAAUGAGCCUACGAGUUGCCCUCACCGGCGAGGCUAAGUGCCUAUAGGCACGUACCCGGAGCGAAAGCGAGUCAGAACAUGGCGAUAAGUCAGUGGGGGCAGACGCGAAACCAAGUGAUCUACCCUUGGGCAGGAUGAAGGACGGGUAACACCGUCUGGAGGUCCGAACCGGUAAGCGUUGAAAAGCUUUCGGAUGACCUGAUGGUAGGAGUGAAAGGCCAAUCAAACUUGGAGAUAGCUCGUACUCCCCGAAAUGCAUUUAGGUGCAGCCCCGGGCGCAAUUGCGCGGAGGUAGAGCGACUGACAGGAUGCGAGGGCUUCGCCGCCUAUCAAGUCCUGACAAACUCCGAAUGCCGCGCAACGUUCCCCGGGAGUGAGGGCGCGGGUGCUAAGGUCCGCGUCCGAGAGAGGAACAACUCAGACCACCGGCUAAGGCCCCCAAGGGGCGACUAAGUUGAAGACAAUAACGAAGUGGGAUCGCACGGACAGCUAGGAUGUUGGCUUGGAAGCAGCCAUUCAUUUAAAGAGUGCGUAACAGCUCACUAGUCGAGCGAUCCCGCGUGGAUAAUAAUCGGGCAUCAAGUCGUCCGCCGAAGCCGUGGAAUAUUAUCAGAAGAUGAUAUUGGUAGGGGAGCAUUCCGGCAGCCGUAGAAUCCGAGGCGUGAGCCUUGGUGGAGGUACCGGAAAAGCAAAUGUAGGCAUAAGUAACGAUAAUGGGGGCGAGAAACCCCCACGCCGGAAGGCCAAGGGUUCCUGAUCAACGCUAAUCGGAUCAGGGUAAGUCGGGACCUAAGAGGGAGCCGCGAGGCGUACUCGAUGGACAAACGGUAAAGAUUCCGUUACCCGGCGCAGGAGUGAAGUGGCGACGGAGAAGUGACACGCCCGCGUGCUGACGGAAAAGCACGUUAAACCGCGUAGGUAAACUUAGGGGAGGCAAAUCCCUCCUGAGUGCUGAAACGGGAAAGUACACCGAGCCCUACGGGGCGAGGUGAUAGCGGCGGUAAUCAGGCUUCCGAGAAAACCCGCUAAACAUAUGCUGCGUCGGCCCGUACCGCAAACCGACACAGGUGGCCGGGUAGAAAAUACUGAGGCGCUCGAGAGAUUCACGGUUAAGGAACUAGGCAAAUUGACCCCGUAACUUCGGGACAAGGGGUCCCCUCCUCCGGGAGGGGCGCAGAGAAUAGGUCCAGGCAACUGUUUAACAAAAACACAGGGCUGUGCGAAAUCGAAAGAUGAUGUAUACAGUCUGACACCUGCCCGGUGCCGGAAGGUUAAGAGGAGAUGUCACCGCAAGGGAAGCAUUGAAUUGAAGCCCCGGUAAACGGCGGCCGUAACUAUAACGGUCCUAAGGUAGCGAAAUUCCUUGUCGGGUAAGUUCCGACCUGCACGAAUGGUGUAAUGAUCCGGACGCUGUCUCAACCAUGAGCUCAGUGAAAUUGUAGUAUCGGUGAAGAUGCCGAUUACCCGCGAUGGGACGAAAAGACCCCGUGAACCUUUACUGCAGCUUAACGUUGUGACCGGGCAGCGGAUGUGUAGGAUAGGCCGGAGGCUAUGAAGGGGGCACGCCAGUGUUCUUGGAGCCGCCGUUGAAAUACGGCCCUUCCUCUGUCUGGUUCCUAACCCGCUUGAUGCGGGGACACCGUUUGGCGGGCAGUUUGACUGGGGUGGUCGCCUCCAAAAGCGUAACGGAGGCUUCUAAAGGUGCCCUCAGGCCGAUUGGUAACCGGCCGCAGAGUGUAAUGGCAAAAGGGCGCUUGACUGGGAGGCCGACAAGCCGAUCAGGUGGGAAACCAGAGCAUAGUGAUCCGGUGGUUCCGUAUGGAAGGGCCAUCGCUCAAAGGAUAAAAGGUACUCCGGGGAUAACAGGCUGAUCCCUCCCAAGAGCUCAUAUCGACGGAGUGGUUUGGCACCUCGAUGUCGGCUCGUCACAUCCCGGGGCUGGAGAAGGUCCCAAGGGUUAGGCUGUUCGCCUAUUAAAGUGGCACGCGAGCUGGGUUCAGAACGUCGCGAGACAGUUCGGUCCCUAUCUGUUGAGGGCGUUGGAAAUUUGAGGGGUUCUGACUCUAGUACGAGAGGACCGAGUUGGACAAACCUCUAGUGUACCGGUUGUAGCGCCAGCGGCAUAGCCGGGUAGCUAAGUUUGGCAGGGAUAAGUGCUGAAAGCAUCUAAGUACGAAACCCACCUCGAGAUGAGAUUUCCUUAU